AAUAGGAUAAUGACAAAUCAGAUUUUUCCUCUUAAUUUUCAACUUUAUUCUCCUGAAAAAAUUCAAAUCCAACUGAAAAUGCUAAAAAUCAGAGGAAAAAUCUGAUUUGUCAUUCCCCUAUC
rfam:Gossypium raimondii Chr01_contig_144, whole genome shotgun sequence.